rnacentral:rRNA from 1 species
CAGUCGCCACGGGAAUACGUAGGUGGCAAGCGUUAUCCGGAAUUAUUGGGCGUAAAGCGCGCGUAGGCGGUUUCUUAAGUCUGAUGUGAAAGCCCACGGCUCAACCGUGGAGGGUCAUUGGAAACUGGGAAACUUGAGUGCAGAAGAGGAAAGUGGAAUUCCAUGUGUAGCGGUGAAAUGCGCAGAGAUAUGGAGGAACACCAGUGGCGAAGGCGACUUUCUGGUCUGUAACUGACGCUGAUGUGCGAAAGCGUGGGGAUCAAACAGGAUUAGAUACCCCAGUAGUCCCUGUCUCUUAUAC